CCCUUUUUGUGUCCCCAGGGCGCUCCUGCAGCGCCCCGGCAGCGCUGCCCGGGGGGAGGACGGGACCCGUGCUGGACCUGCAGCUGGGAGCACGAGUGGACGUGUCCUGCCAGGACGGGUACAGAUUAAUCGGGAAUAAUUUMAUCUGGUGCCAGCUGAAGGGAAACGAUGUUGAGUGGAGCAAACUUCCAACUUGUGAAUUAAUUACCUGCUCCCCACCUCCUCAAAUCAGCCACGGGAGACACGAUGGGGAAGGAGUUGAAAUUUUYGCCUAUAACUCCACGGUUAACUACAGCUGUGACCCCAAUUUCCAACUGCUCGGGAACGGGAGCAUCCGCUGCACGAGCAGGGACAAAACCAGCGGAGUUUGGAGUGGAAA